ensembl:lncRNA
GUACUUUAGAGAACUUCCUUUACCUCUUAUUCCCUCUGAGCGAUUCAAGGAGCUUGCAGAUGCACUAGACAUUGCCGAUCCAUAUCUCAGGGCCGACAGCAUGCUGACUCUGUUGCAGGCUCUACCAGAUGUAAACCGCAACACUCUCCUCUUCCUCUUACAUCACCUGAGACGGUACACAACAUCCUUUCAACUCGUAACUGUCAAAACACUGAUUUAGUUUCACCCCAGACUAACCUGAAUCACUUUCAGCACUGAUGGAUGUAAAUUUAAAAAAAGAUGUUUCUCUGUAUAUUUUCUUUUUCCCCUUCUCAUGCACAUCUUUCUCUCUUUUUGUGUUUCUCAGUGUUGCAGAGAGGAAGGGAGAGAAUAAAAUGUCUCUGAGUAAUUUGGCCACAGUGUUUGGCCCCAGCCUUUUGCGCCCUCCAGUGGCUCGUGUCGACAUAUCUCAAGAAGUGGAGGUUCAGGUUCAGGUGAUUUUUCUCUAUCUGCAGUAUCAGAACCUUCCAGAAGCUCUUCUCACAAAACAUCAGGACAUUGAUGAUCUAGAGACAUGAGCCUUCAACAACCAGACUCCUUUUCUGUCUCCGUGUCCAUGGUCAUAUCUGUACAUUUGUAAAAAUUGUUUAACUUGCUUUAUUUUACAGAUGAAUAAAACAAAAUAUUCUAUUUUAAGGUUUUUAUUGUCAUUAAAAAUGACAUGACCACGAG